rnacentral:rRNA from 1 species
AGAUUAAGUUAUUAAGGGCGCACGGUGGAUGCCUUGGCACUAGAAGCCGAUGAAGGACGUUACUAACGACGAUAUGCUUUGGGGAGCUGUAAGUAAGCUUUGAUCCAGAGAUUUCCGAAUGGGGAAACCCAGCAUGAGUUAUGUCAUGUUAUCGAUAUGUGAAUACAUAGCAUAUCAGAAGGCACACCCGGAGAACUGAAACAUCUUAGUACCCGGAGGAAGAGAAAGAAAAUUCGAUUCCCUUAGUAGCGGCGAGCGAAACGGGAAGAGCCCAAACCAACAAGCUUGCUUGUUGGGGUUGUAGGACACUCUAUACGGAGUUACAAAGGACGACAUUAGACGAAUCAUCUGGAAAGAUGAAUCAAAGAAGGUAAUAAUCCUGUAGUCGAAAAUGUUGUCUCUCUUGAGUGGAUCCUGAGUACGACGGAGCACGUGAAAUUCCGUCGGAAUCUGGGAGGACCAUCUCCUAAGGCUAAAUACUCUCUAGUGACCGAUAGUGAACCAGUACCGUGAGGGAAAGGUGAAAAGCACCCCGGAAGGGGAGUGAAAUAGAACCUGAAACCGUGUGCUUACAAGUAGUCAGAGCCCGUUAAUGGGUGAUGGCGUGCCUUUUGUAGAAUGAACCGGCGAGUUACGAUUUGAUGCAAGGUUAAGCAGUAAAUGUGGAGCCGUAGCGAAAGCGAGUCUGAAUAGGGCGUUUAGUAUUUGGUCGUAGACCCGAAACCAGGUGAUCUACCCUUGGUCAGGUUGAAGUUCAGGUAACACUGAAUGGAGGACCGAACCGACUUACGUUGAAAAGUGAGCGGAUGAACUGAGGGUAGCGGAGAAAUUCCAAUCGAACCUGGAGAUAGCUGGUUCUCUCCGAAAUAGCUUUAGGGCUAGCCUCAAGUGAUGAUUAUUGGAGGUAGAGCACUGUUUGGACGAGGGGCCCCUCUCGGGUUACCGAAUUCAGACAAACUCCGAAUGCCAAUUAAUUUAACUUGGGAGUCAGAACAUGGGUGAUAAGGUCCGUGUUCGAAAGGGAAACAGCCCAGACCACCAGCUAAGGUCCCAAAAUAUAUGUUAAGUGGAAAAGGAUGUGGCGUUGCCCAGACAACUAGGAUGUUGGCUUAGAAGCAGCCAUCAUUUAAAGAGUGCGUAAUAGCUCACUAGUCGAGUGACACUGCGCCGAAAAUGUACCGGGGCUAAACAUAUUACCGAAGCUGUGGAUUGUCCUUUGGACAAUGGUAGGAGAGCGUUCUAAGGGCGUUGAAGCAUGAUCGUAAGGACAUGUGGAGCGCUUAGAAGUGAGAAUGCCGGUGUGAGUAGCGAAAGACGGGUGAGAAUCCCGUCCACCGAUUGACUAAGGUUUCCAGAGGAAGGCUCGUCCGCUCUGGGUUAGUCGGGUCCUAAGCUGAGGCCGACAGGCGUAGGCGAUGGAUAACAGGUUGAUAUUCCUGUACCACCUAUAAUCGUUUUAAUCGAUGGGGGGACGCAGUAGGAUAGGCGAAGCGUGCGAUUGGAUUGCACGUCUAAGCAGUAAGGCUGAGUAUUAGGCAAAUCCGGUACUCGUUAAGGCUGAGCUGUGAUGGGGAGAAGACAUUGUGUCUUCGAGUCGUUGAUUUCACACUGCCGAGAAAAGCCUCUAGAUAGAAAAUAGGUGCCCGUACCGCAAACCGACACAGGUAGUCAAGAUGAGAAUUCUAAGGUGAGCGAGCGAACUCUCGUUAAGGAACUCGGCAAAAUGACCCCGUAACUUCGGGAGAAGGGGUGCUCUUUAGGGUUAACGCCCAGAAGAGCCGCAGUGAAUAGGCCCAAGCGACUGUUUAUCAAAAACACAGGUCUCUGCUAAACCGUAAGGUGAUGUAUAGGGGCUGACGCCUGCCCGGUGCUGGAAGGUUAAGAGGAGUGGUUAGCUUCUGCGAAGCUACGAAUCGAAGCCCCAGUAAACGGCGGCCGUAACUAUAACGGUCCUAAGGUAGCGAAAUUCCUUGUCGGGUAAGUUCCGACCCGCACGAAAGGCGUAACGAUUUGGGCACUGUCUCAACGAGAGACUCGGUGAAAUCAUAGUACCUGUGAAGAUGCAGGUUACCCGCGACAGGACGGAAAGACCCCGUGGAGCUUUACUGUAGCCUGAUAUUGAAAUUCGGCACAGCUUGUACAGGAUAGGUAGGAGCCUUUGAAACGUGAGCGCUAGCUUACGUGGAGGCGCUGGUGGGAUACUACCCUAGCUGUGUUGGCUUUCUAACCCGCACCACUUAUCGUGGUGGGAGACAGUGUCAGGCGGGCAGUUUGACUGGGGCGGUCGCCUCCUAAAAGGUAACGGAGGCGCUCAAAGGUU